UGCAAGUCGAGGGGCAGCACGAUCUUCGGAUUGGUGGCGACCGGCGCACGGGUGCGUAACGCGUAUAGAACCUACCUUUUACAGAGGGAUAGCCCAGAGAAAUUUGGAUUAAUACCUCAUAGUAUUAUAGAUUGGCAUCGAUUUAUAAUUAAACAUUUAUGGGUAAGAGAUGGCUAUGCGUCCUAUUAGUUGGUUGGUAAGGUAACGGCUUACCAGGACAGCGAUAGGUAGGGGUCCUGAGAGGGAGACCCCCCACACUGGUACUGAGACACGGACCAGACUCC
rnacentral:rRNA from 1 species